rnacentral:rRNA from 1 species
UUCCGGUUGAUCCCGCCGGAGGCCACUGCUAUCGGGGUCCGACUAAGCCAUGCGAGUCAAGGGGGUGUCCCUCUGGGACACCACCGGCGGACGGCUCAGUAACACGUCGGUAACCUACCCUCGGGAGGGGGAUAACCCCGGGAAACUGGGGCUAAUCCCCCAUAGGCCUGAGGUACUGGAAGGUCCUCAGGCCGAAAGGGGCUUUUGCCCGCCCGAGGAUGGGCCGGCGGCCGAUUAGGUAGUUGGUGGGGUAACGGCCCACCAAGCCGAAGAUCGGUACGGGCUGUGAGAGCAGGAGCCCGGAGAUGGACACUGAGACACGGGUCCAGGCCCUACGGGGCGCAGCAGGCGCGAAACCUCCGCAAUGCGGGAAACCGCGACGGGGGGACCCCGAGUGCCGUGGCACCGCCACGGCUUUUCCGGAGUGUAAAAAGCUCCGGGAAUAAGGGCUGGGCAAGGCCGGUGGCAGCCGCCGCGGUAAUACCGGCGGCCCGAGUGGUGGCCGCUAUUAUUGGGCCUAAAGCGUCCGUGGCCGGGCCCGUAAGUCCCUGGCGAAAUCCCACGGCUCAACCGUGGGGCUUGCUGGGGGUACUGCGGGCCUUGGGACCGGGAGAGGCGGGGGGUACCCCUGGGGUAGGGGUGAAAUCCUAUAAUCCCAGGGGGACCGCCAGUGGCGAAGGCGCCCCGCUGGAACGGGUCCGACGGUGAGGGACGAAAGCCAGGGGAGCAAACCGGAUUAGAUACCCGGGUAGUCCUGGCUGUAAAGGAUGCGGGCUAGGUGUCGGUUGAGCUUCGAGCUCGCCCGGUGCCGUAGGGAAGCCGUUAAGCCCGCCGCCUGGGAGUACAGCCGCAAGCU